GGAAAACCAACUCAUGCUGGAAGCAAUUCUCUGAAUGCUGGUUCCUAGGGAUUCAGCCCAGCAAGGAGGGUGUAGUGAACCCAGUUUGCAUGUUUUUCUGGGAAUAAAGAGGGCAGGUUGCUUGUUGUCUGGAUUCCCAUGCCAGAUUCAGAACUUUCUUCAGCCACUAAUUCAGAUGAUACUUUGGAUGAAUACUUUGAGUAUGAAGCUGAGGAGUUCCUGGUCUCCUUGGCCCUGCUGAUCACUGAGGGCCGGACCCCAGAGUACUCGAUCAAGGGCAGGACAGAGGGCUUCCACUGCCCACCAGCACAGUCCAGUCAGCCACCAACAACUAAGCAUGAAUGCAGUGACAAACUGGCUCAGUGUCGUCAGGCCAGGCGAACCAGAUCUGAGGUUAUGCUUCUGUGGAAGAACAAUAUUCCAAUCAUGGUAGAAGUGAUGCUACUUCCAGACUGUUGCUAUAGUGAUGAAGGGCCCACCACAGAGGGGAAUGAUUUAAAUGAUCCUGCAAUCAAACAAGAUGCAUUGCUGUUGGAAAGGUGGAUUUUGGAGCCAGUUCCUCGACAGAGUGGAGAUCGAUUUAUAGAAGAGAAGACCCUUUUACUGGCUGUUCGCUCCUUUGUUUUCUUCUCCCAGCUGAGCGCGUGGCUGAGUGUUUCACAUGGUGCUGUUCCCCGAAAUAUCCUGUACAGGGUGAGCGCUGCAGACGUGGACUUGCAAUGGACGUUCUCCCAGACACCCACUGAGCAUGUCUUUCCUGUUCCUAAUGUUUCUCACAAUGUGGCCUUGAGGGUCAGCGUCCAGUCCUUGCCCAGGCAGUCCAACUACCCAGUUUUGACCUGUAGUAUUCACACCAACCUUAGCUUUUAUGAAAAGCAAAUGCAAGAGCGCAAGUUCCAUCAGCGCAGCGAUCCCGGUGCUGCUCAGCAAUGCAGUACUUCCAGUCCCCUGCGUUUUCGUGGGAAACAGACAUGGACAGUGACACCUGAAGGCCUACUUAAUGGAAAAAAGAUGCCUGAAUUUACUACAUCUUUUAGAAAUUUGAAGCUUUAUCCAUCUACUGGACUUGGAUCUGACUUUGGGGCAUCUCAGUCUAAAGUUCAGUGCUAUAAUGCCACAGCAGACAAUAAGACACAGUCUCAUGAAACACCGGUUAGAACUUUUAAAUCCUACUCUCUGGUUGAUUCCCGUGUUUCAAAUAGCCAUGGCUCUCAUCAGCCCACAGGAGAAACCAAUCCUUUGAUAGGCUCUUUACUUCAAGAGCGACAAGAAGUCAUUGCAAGGAUUGCUCAGCACUUGAUUCACUGUGAUCCAGCUACUUCACCAGUUGUUGCUGGGCGUCCAUUCACCACACAUGAAAACAUCUCAGCUACACCAAAAGCUUUUCGGAGCACUUUCGAAGAGGAAAACUUGCCAAGGAAAAGCAAGGAAAGCUCCCCUGUUCCUGCUGCCAACUUAGACAGUGCAAUACAGGAGGAUGGUGAUGAAGGCAAAACUAGAGCAGUGCCAGAGGUCACCCUGCUCGAUGCCCGUGUUCCAGGGAGCCACUGUGGCCGUCAGUCAGCAGGAGAGGGUAACCCCCUGAUUGAUUCCCUGCUCCAGGAGCGGCAGGAGGUGAUAGCAAGGAUUGCCCAGCACUUGAUUCAUUGUGAUCCAGCUACUUCCCAUGUUGCUGGACAUCCAUUCAAAGUGCAUGAGGCUAGUCCGGUCACGUCAAAAAUUUUCCGAAGUACAUAUGAAGAUGAAAAUUUGCUGAAGAAAGGCAAGGAACCAUCUUCUGUUUCUUCUACUAAAUCAAAAUUUUCUUUGUUAGAAGACAGCAGUAAAUCGGGGACAAAGACACCUGAUACUCCUAUCAGUCCUUCUAGGUUGGAUGGAGAAUUGAAGACUUCUCUAAAAGUCCAAGCAAGAAGAAAAUUGGUUUUAGCAAAACCCAGUGAAGCUGUCCAAAAUUCAUUUCAUCAGACUUCAAAUAAAACUUCUCAUGCAUUUAGUAGCAUUCACAUAUCAUCAUCAUGUAUUAAAGAAAACAAAUCUGAAAUUCCAGAUAAAUUAGAAAUACAUUCUGGUUAUGCACAGAAAGACCAGAUAACCAAUAGAAUGAAACAGGGUUCAAAUUCCAGCAGCAUUGAUGAACAGAUUUGCACAAAUAAACUUAAAGAAAGAACAGUUGUAAGUGAGAACAAUGGCACAGACAGUUUUAAUAAUUUACAGAUAGAAAAAUGCAGAAUACUUGAAGGUACAAAAAAAUCAACUGUGAUACCGGUAUCUGACUCUUUGCACAAAAAUGAGCUCAAGUGUUUAGAUAGAGACUCCAAAAAACCAAUUAUUUAUGAGCAAAAUACACAACUUGUUAGUAUUGAAAAUUAUUUAAAUAAAGACCAUGACAGUUUCAAAACCAAAACCAAACAAGAUAAAACAAAAUCUGCACAUGAUGAAAAUGAAGACCCAACAGGCCUUGAUUUUCAAAGCACUUCUCAGAAGAAACCUGCAGAAGACAAUGUGGUUAAAUGUGAGCGGCAGAAGAACCCAGAUGUACAGAAAGCACCUCCUCUAAAACACACAAAUACAUGGCGGAAACACAAUUUUCGAUCCCUGGAUGGAACUUCAACCAAGGCUUUUCAUCCCAGAACUGGACUGCCUCUGCUUUCAAGUCCUGUUCCUCAAAGGAAAACACAGUCUGGGUGCUUUGAUCUGGAUUCAUCAUUGUUGAAAUGUCUGUCUGCAAGAAGCCCACAACAAUGUAUAAACAAAGAUGGUGAUCCAGACAGCCAUGGGAAACCAUUUCUAAGUUCUAGUGCUCCCCCCGUAACAAGUCUGAGCCUUCUGGGAAACUUUGAGGAAUCUGUCCUGAAUUUCCGCUUGGACCCGCUCGGUGUCGUGGAGGGUUUCACAGCAGAGGUGGGAGCAAGUGGAGUCUUUUGUCCCACGCACAUGACUCUGCCAGUUGAAGUGUCAUUCUACAGCGUUUCAGAUGACAAUGCUCCCUCUCCUUACAUGGUAAAUGUGUGGUUGGAUUUAUUUUAAAUAAGUUCUGAUAUGUGGAGGUGAAGAGCAAGAGCUUGGGUGUAAUUACUUUAGAGUCCCUCGGUAAAAGGGGUUAUCGAGUACCGCCUUCAGGAACAAUACAAGUGACCUUAUUUAACCCUAACAAAACUGUGGUGAAGAUGUUUGUGGUGAUCUAUGACUUGAGAGAAAUGCCAGCUAAUCAUCAAACAUUCCUACGGCAAAGAACUUUUUCUGUUCCUGUGAGACGAGAAAUCAAGCGAAAUGUCAAUAAAGAAAACAGCCACCAGACUGAAGAAAGGCUACUACGCUACCUCAUACAUCUGAGGUUCCAGAGUUCUAAAUCUGGAAAGAUCUACCUCCACAGAGAUGUAAGGCUCCUAUUCUCUCGGAAGUCCAUGGAAGUUGAUAGCGGCGCUGCAUAUGAACUCAAAUCUUACACUGAAUCUCCAACAAAUCCUCAGUUUUCACCAAGAUGCUAGCAAACAAUGGCAAAGUCAAGUAUUCAUUUUACUGUUGAGUACUCCUUGCAAGCAAAGAUUGGUAGAGACAACAGUAUCAAGUUAAGUCUGUAAAGGAAUAAAAAUAGCGCUCAAGAGAAAGAAGGUUCUGUGUGAUCCUGGACCAGUUUUUAAAAGGUUUCUGGAAUGAGCUUUGUGUAUUCCAAGUAGACUGGAAACAUACUUAAAUCUAAUCUUUUUGUACUGUUUAAAACCACUUCAUUGGAUGUGUUGCAAUAGCAAAUUCCCAAGUUAGUUUAGUGUUUACACUUUUUAUUUUAUUUUUCAGUUAUUUAAUAUUUAAUGUUUCAUUUAAUACUCAAGUGAUGUUUGUCUUUAGUGUUCUAAUGUAGCAUAAAUCCUAUGUAAAAUCAUACUAUGUAUUUUUGGCAUUAAUAUUGAAAUCUGAAAUAUAUACAGAUGUCUUUAAUCUGUGUGCUGUUUUAAGUGAUAUUCAUUUAAGUUAUUGAGAAUGGGGACAACAGGUGAAUUUCCAUAACAUUUCAUACUAUGCAAGCAUUUUGCUGUUUUUUCUCUUUAAUGGUACCAUUUUCCAUUUUUUCUCACAUCCAAAUUUAAUAACACUUGCAACCACACUGCAGAUUGUUUAUUUACUUACUUAUUCAUUUAGAUCAUUAAUUCAAUUCACAUUUUGCUCCCUCAAUUUCUUUUUUCUUUCCUUGGGGGCCAUUUUAAUUUUGCUUUCUGUUAUUAGUUUUCCUCAGAUAAAAUUUGCACCCCUCCCCCAUUUUAUUUCUCAAAUUGUGUUAAAGGAUGUACUGUGCAAACAAAUUAGUAUUUAUAUCUCAAAUAUAUGCAAAAGCUAUAAAACUUGUACUUUUUGUUUUAUUUUUAGAUGAGAGGAUCUUCAUGUAAUCCUAAAUAUUUUUCAUAGGUCAAUUCCAUGUAGGCCACUAGGUGGCCAUAGGAGGUUUUACUAGCAAUGCUACACUGGGCAUAUGACUAUUUUCCAAUAUGUGUGUGUGUUCCUACAACAAAACAGUCAGAUGAACAGUUUAUGCUAAGUGUUAAACUGUGUAACUGAGAGAAAUAAAGUUAGAAGCAUUUGAUUAUAUUUGAGCUAUAUAUUUAAUAAUGGAAAUGAAGCUUUAUGACAUUUGAUGAAGAUCUGAGUUUCUCAGCUGUCUUACCUUGUGUUUUUCUUUACUUUGCUGUAGGUUUUUAGAGUGUCAGUAAUAUGCAAGGUGCCCUUUACCAUGCUUAUCUGAUGAAGACUGGAGAAAGGAUGAAUGUGCAUCCUCUGUAUUCAGCACUGCCCCUAGAUGAGAGAAGUCAGUGUAUCAUGAAAUCUCCAGGAAGUCUGCCAGGGAACGUAAGGGAGACUGGACUUUCCAGAUGAUACUCAUCAGCUAUCUUGUACAUGCAAAUGACUGCUGCUCCAGAAGGGCAAAGCUCAGAUAUUACUGAGUCCUCUCCCCACGUCAGCAGUGUUUUCCACUCUGCUACACCAGGUUUUCAAAGGUUUACCUAGCAUUCAUUUUAGAGAGAAUCGGGGGAAACUGUACAGGAAGAGAUUGUUUGCAGUUUCUGGUCAUUUGUGCGCCCUUUAAAAUGGAGAAAAGGUUUCUUUUGGUAGCAGAAGGGUCAAACACAACUGCAGCUGUACUGUGUACAGAACUAAGGUCUGGACUGGGAUAUCAAGAGGGCGUCCUAGUUUCUGUGUAGCUGCUAUUGAGUCAUAAGCAAAUAGCAUGUAUCCUCUAACUGCUUAUUUGUGUCAUGGUGCACAGCUUGCUUGCAUGCUCAGUGAAAAAACAACACGAGGAAAGGACACAUUUUUAAUGAGAAGUCACCAUUAGUAGUAGAUUAACCUUUUAUUUUUGCACUGACAUUAUGCAACGUUUGUAUCUUGAUAACUUUAUUUAAAUAGACUUCUUCAAGUCA